rnacentral:sRNA from 1 species
ACUUCAAAAUUUGGAGGCCAUGAUCUGAGUUUCUGAAUGUGGUUCUUGUAGAUUCC